CCUACGGGUGGCAGCAGUGAGGAAUAUUGGUCAAUGGUCGGGAGACUGAACCAGCCAAGCCGCGUGAGGGAGGAAGGUACAGAGUAUCGUAAACCUCUUUUGUCAGGGAACAAAGACUGGGACGCGUCCCCGGAUGAGUGUACCUGAAGAAAAAGCAUCGGCUAACUCCGUGCCAGCAGCCGCGGUAAUACGGAGGAUGCGAGCGUUAUCCGGAUUUAUUGGGUUUAAAGGGUGUGCAGGCGGUCUGUUAAGUCGGCGGUCAAAGCCCGGGGCUCAACCCGGGCCCGCAGCGGAAACGGGCAGGCUCGAGUGGGAGAGAGGUAUGCGGAAUGCGCGGUGUAGCGGUGAAAUGCAUAGAUAUCGCGAAGAACUCCGAUUGCGAAGGCAGCAUGCCGGCUCCACACUGACGCUGAGGCACGAAGGCGUGGGUAUCGAACAGGAGUAGAUACCCCGGUAGUC
rnacentral:rRNA from 1 species